UUCUGCUGGAGCCACACAGAGCGGAGCAAAGACUCAGUGACAAGCUGCAUGAUCAUCCCCCGGGGUGGCUUGGUACUGUUAUCGCUGCUAACAGAUGAGGAAACUGAGGCACCAGCCAGAGCAGUGAUUGACACCAGCCAUUGUUAGUGAAUGGGGCUCAGGACUGGGAAGAAGACCUGGGAGUCCUGUCUCUGGCUCAGCACCAAGGCACAAGAUCUCCUGUAGUGCAAAUGGCCAUAGCUUUCAGCCAGUUCAGUUCACGCUGAGCCAAAACACAGGGUUUUGCAACGGCACAUCUUCCAUAGAGGCAACUGAUUUGGUUCAUCACUGCUAAAUGACUCCAUUCAAAGCUCGCUUCAUCCUUUUAAUUAACCUCUAUGCAGAUUUCAUCCUCAGGGUGCGCUGGAGUCUGUGUGCACAGGCAGGUCUGCAUGAGAAGGGCAUGCAAGUGCUCGGAGCGGCUGUUCUCAAAGCCCAGCAAAAGCGAGGGACCUCCUCUCCUCCCUCAAGGCCCCAGUCCGGGUCAGGGAGCCGGGCCGUCGAUGUUUAGUCUGGAAUGGUCUGCGGGACACGAUUUGGUGGCGUUCCCGUGAUACAUCGCACAAUGAGCUUAGGGAGGACAAUGCAGUUGCUUUGUGAGACGUGGCGAUGCUGUGUCUUGUGACACAGCCUAUUAGCAGAUUGGCUAAUGCUGGGUGUGCAGCUGCUUUCUGUCACGGGAAAGGCUGAAAGCAGCCAGAAUAUACCUGUGAAUCCUGCCUCUAAUUACUGAGAGCAAAAACCAGUGUGCUCCUGGUUUUCCCGUAUCUGCGCACCUUGCAGGCACAUGAAAAAUAACAGUCCACAACAAGAAUAAAAAUCCCUUUUUUUGCCUUACUAAAAUCCUGCUUAUUAAACAGAAUUCCUCUUUAAAAAGGCUGUGAUAGAAGGGAAGAAAGACACUUCUUUUCAUGAAGACAACUUAUUAAACAGCUGAGUGGAUUUUGCUACCUCUGCUUAACCCCAGCUGUCUCUACAACCCCUAUUUAAGACGUUUUGCCUCUUUAAAGGGCCUUUCUGGCAGCCCUCCAUCAGCACUGAAUUUUUCAGGCGGGGGGAGGGAUGGGAUGUGAAGCAGCCCAACGAGGGAACAUAACAUUUUUCCUUUCAUUUCACGAAGGCCAAGAUUUGGCCUUCUUGCUGAGGGUGGCUCGGUGGUAAUAAGGAUCCCGGCAGUGAACUUCCUGUGAACUGAUGGGAAAAGCCCUUCUCCCGGAGAGAGGAGACAAUAUCCAAGGGCUGUGUACAGAAAAGGGAGGUAGUCAGCUAAUAAAGAAAAUUAACCCGGUGGACAUGAUUUGCCCGCAUUCUCCAAAGCUGGAGCUCUUUUAUAAGGCUUGCGGCAGAAAGCUCUUAAGGAUAACAACUAAUCCCUGGAUAAGGGUCAAAGUUCUUACUGGGCAUUAAAACCUGGUGAUGUGAUUAGAGAAAAAGUGAAAAUUUGCUGCUCAGAGCAGAGCCUCCAAUGAGGAAGCCGCAGGGUGCCAUGUUCUGGUCGCUGCUGAAUGAUCCCAGGACACCGGGGAUGAAGAGCUAAUGGCUUUGGCUGAUGGUGCUCAGAUGUCUGAGGAGCUCCAAAGGGAUGGAAAGAUUAUUUGGAGUGAAGCAGCCCAACAGCCCUCUGAAAUGGCCACUGGGACAGGUGCAAGGUGACGUACCCUGGCACGGGACAGCCAUAACUUCACCUCUCCACCAACGGGCCUUGAAGGUCCCCUCUGGAAAAAAAAUAUUUAGCAGUUGCUGUGGAUACCUCCGAUUAGAUGCCUGGGUUUUGUGUGUAUCUGCAACCUAGAAGGCAAACAGGGCUCAAGUGACUUAGAACCAGGAGAGAAACUAUAAAAAAUAUCCACAGUGAGACAAUGAUAUAUAAACAAUCCUUUUCCAGGCUUAGGAAAGGUUCGAGAUUGACAACACCAGAAGAUGGGGAGUGGAUUAAAAAUAGGGUGGAACCUGGUCGUAAAGGGAUAUGGCAAGAGACUGGAGAGCAGGGUCUGAAGUGUGCUGGAGGGGGCUGGGUGGUGGAAUUUAAGGCUAGGAAGGAAAAUAUUUGCUGGCAAAUCACCUGCCCAGCUGAACCCCAUGGCAGUUUCAAAAUGAAUGCAAUCUGGGGCAUUUACCUUCUGAGCUUUUGGAGCCUGCUUGGGUCAGGCUGGAUUUUAUCUUUUGCAAGCGAAAGUUUGACUAAAAGCUGGUAGCCUUGCACAUCACACAGCUCUUGCACUGGUGCAAAUAGCACAAGAUUCUCAGUAAAAUUGUCAGUGUUGGUGGCCUGGGCUGUAAUAGCUGCUUCUUUCUCUGCGUGGUCUGAUGGAGGGGUUGCCUGGGGCAGGUUCCCCAAGUGCUGGUAAAUCUGGAGCUCAGGCACAACUGCAAGCCCUAGCUGAGAGUCUUCCAGCUAGGAGCAAUUUACUCCACUGAGAGCUGUGUCCAUGAGAGUGCAGGAGGUUUCGCAACUGGGAGGGUUCCCUGCACCCAGGGCUGACUGAUAAAUUUGGGGCCGCCCCACCCCACUCCUCA